rnacentral:lncRNA from 1 species
UUUGUUUUUGUUUUUGCUUUCUAUGUCUUUGAAGCAGGCUGGGAAGAAAUGAUGAAAAAUUGCUAAAUCUCCAGAACUCCAGCCAGAGGCAAAUUACUAAAGGGAAGUAAUCUUGGAAUAGUUGGCCCUUCUAAUCCAUGAGUUGUGCAUCUGUGGAUUCAACCAACUGUGGAUCAAAAAUGUGUGGCAAAAAAUUCCACAAAGUUUCAAAAAGCAAAACUUGAAUUUGCGUGCAAUGAGUACUAAUUGAAUCCAGCCAAAUGAAGUGAUGUGUAGGCAGUGCAUUAGUUAAUGUAGAAAUGACUUAAAGUAUUUGUGAGGAUAUAUGUAUGUUAUACAUAAAUAUGAUGCCAUUUUAUAUAAGGGACUUGGGCACUGAUAUGAUCUGGCUGUGUCUCCACCCAAAUCUCAACUUGAAUUGUAUCUCCUAGAAUUCCCACAGGUUGUGGGAGGAAACCAGGGGGUAGUAAUUGACUCAUGGGGCUGGUCUUUCCCAUGCUAUUCUCAUGAUAGUGAAUAAGCCUCACAAGAUCUGAUGGGCUUAUCAGGGGUUUCUGCUUUUGCUUCCUCUUCUCUCUUGCUGCUGCCAUGUAAGAAGUGCCUUUCACUCUCUGCCGCGAUCCUGAGGCCUCCUCAGCCAUGUGGCACUUUUUGGGUAUGUCUUUGUCAGCAGUGUGAAAAUGGACUAAUACAGGCAUCCAUGGAUUUUGGUAUCUGCUGGGAAUCCUGGAAUCAAUCCCUCUCAUGCAUGCUGAGGUGAGCUAAUGUCCUUUGCUAGCCCGGAAAGUCUACAACUUUUGUUUUAAGGGAUAUAAUGAAGGAAAACAUAUAUAAUAAUGAUAAUAAUCAGAAAAUAAUCCUUACUUCUUUAUAUGCUUUUUCUUUUAUACUUUCUUUUUCAUGUCCUUUAUUAUUUUCCCUUCAUUUACUUUUUUCCCUUUCUUUCUCUACUCUUCCUAUCAACUCUUAGAAAUAGUUAUGUUUACUGAGAAAUCACACCGUUUUUAUUUUGUCCAUAUAUGUGGCUUUUAAAAUUUGUCCCUUGCUUUUUGAGUGUGUGUUGGGGUGAGUGUAGAUGUGCAGAAAUUGAAGCACUGUGAUAUAACCAAGAGAAAACCAGACUCGGAUUCAGAAGAUCUAGGUUCCUCUCCAUCCUUCCCACCCUCCCUGCUCUCUCCACAAAGGAUUAGCAAUCAUUCAUUAAAACUCAUACAGUA